rnacentral:rRNA from 1 species
GAUGAACGCUGGCGGCGUGCCUAAUACAUGCAAGUCGAGCGAACGGACGAGAAGCUUGCUUCUCUGAUGUUAGCGGCGGACGGGUGAGUAACACGUGGAUAACCUACCUAUAAGACUGGGAUAACUUCGGGAAACCGGAGCUAAUACCGGAUAAUAUUUUGAACCGCAUGGUUCAAAAGUGAAAGACGGUCUUGCUGUCACUUAUAGAUGGAUCCGCGCUGCAUUAGCUAGUUGGUAAGGUAACGGCUUACCAAGGCAACGAUGCAUAGCCGACCUGAGAGGGUGAUCGGCCACACUGGAACUGAGACACGGUCCAGACUCCUACGGGAGGCAGCAGUAGGGAAUCUUCCGCAAUGGGCGAAAGCCUGACGGAGCAACGCCGCGUGAGUGAUGAAGGUCUUCGGAUCGUAAAACUCUGUUAUUAGGGAAGAACAUAUGUGUAAGUAACUGUGCACAUCUUGACGGUACCUAAUCAGAAAGCCACGGCUAACUACGUGCCAGCAGCCGCGGGAAUACGUAGGUGGCAAGCGUUAUCCGGAAUUAUUGGGCGUAAAGCGCGCGUAGGCGGUUUUUUAAGUCUGAUGUGAAAGCCCACGGCUCAACCGUGGAGGGUCAUUGGAAACUGGAAAACUUGAGUGCAGAAGAGGAAAGUGGAAUUCCAUGUGUAGCGGUGAAAUGCGCAGAGAUAUGGAGGAACACCAGUGGCGAAGGCGACUUUCUGGUCUGUAACUGACGCUGAUGUGCGAAAGCGUGGGGAUCAAACAGGAUUAGAUACCCUGGUAGUCCACGCCGUAAACGAUGAGUGCUAAGUGUUAGGGGGUUUCCGCCCCUUAGUGCUGCAGCUAACGCAUUAAGCACUCCGCCUGGGGAGUACGACCGCAAGGUUGAAACUCAAAGGAAUUGACGGGGACCCGCACAAGCGGUGGAGCAUGUGGUUUAAUUCGAAGCAACGCGAAGAACCUUACCAAAUCUUGACAUCCUUUGACAACUCUAGAGAUAGAGCCUUCCCCUUCGGGGGACAAAGUGACAGGUGGUGCAUGGUUGUCGUCAGCUCGUGUCGUGAGAUGUUGGGUUAAGUCCCGCAACGAGCGCAACCCUUAAGCUUAGUUGCCAUCAUUAAGUUGGGCACUCUAAGUUGACUGCCGGUGACAAACCGGAGGAAGGUGGGGAUGACGUCAAAUCAUCAUGCCCCUUAUGAUUUGGGCUACACACGUGCUACAAUGGACAAUACAAAGGGCAGCGAAACCGCGAGGUCAAGCAAAUCCCAUAAAGUUGUUCUCAGUUCGGAUUGUAGUCUGCAACUCGACUACAUGAAGCUGGAAUCGCUAGUAAUCGUAGAUCAGCAUGCUACGGUGAAUACGUUCCCGGGUCU